AUUGAACGCUGGCGGCAGGCCUAACACAUGCAAGUCGAGCGGAUGAAAGGAGCUUGCUCCUGGAUUCAGCGGCGGACGGGUGAGUAAUGCCUAGGAAUCUGCCUGGUAGUGGGGGACAACGUUUCGAAAGGAACGCUAAUACCGCAUACGUCCUACGGGAGAAAGCAGGGGACCUUCGGGCCUUGCGCUAUCAGAUGAGCCUAGGUCGGAUUAGCUAGUUGGUGAGGUAAUGGCUCACCAAGGCGACGAUCCGUAACUGGUCUGAGAGGAUGAUCAGUCACACUGGAACUGAGAUACGGUCCAGACUCCUACGGGAGGCAGCAGUGGGGAAUAUUGGACAAUGGGCGAAAGCCUGAUCCAGCCAUGCCGCGUGUGUGAAGAAGGUCUUCGGAUUGUAAAGCACUUUAAGUUGGGAGGAAGGGUUGUAGAUUAAUACUCUGCAAUUUUGACGUUACCGACAGAAUAAGCACCGGCUAACUCUGUGCCAGCAGCCGCGGUAAUACAGAGGGUGCAAGCGUUAAUCGGAAUUACUGGGCGUAAAGCGCGCGUAGGUGGUUUGUUAAGUUGGAUGUGAAAUCCCCGGGCUCAACCUGGGAACUGCAUCCAAAACUGGCAAGCUAGAGUAUGGUAGAGGGUGGUGGAAUUUCCUGUGUAGCGGUGAAAUGCGUAGAUAUAGGAAGGAACACCAGUGGCGAAGGCGACCACCUGGACUGAUACUGACACUGAGGUGCGAAAGCGUGGGGAGCAAACAGG
rnacentral:rRNA from 1 species